UCCCAAAGUGUUGAGUUCAGUUCAGGGCAGCUUCCCUGUUCUGUUAAUUAAACUUUGGGACAUUGAAAGUGGCUAGGGAAAAUGAUUGGAUAGAAAGUAUUACUCUAUUCAUUUCUCUCCCAGCCUACAAAA
ensembl:snoRNA SNORA36B small nucleolar RNA SNORA36 family